GACGAACGCUGGCGGCGUGCUUAACACAUGCAAGUCGCACGAGGACGGGAGCUUGCUCCCGAGCCGAGUGGCGGACGGGUGAGUAACACGUGACCAACCUGUCCUAGGGUGAGGGACAACCUGGGGAAACCCGGGCUAAUACCGCAUGACGUCUCGAGGUCGCAUGGCCAUGAGAUCAAAGAGGGCCUCUGCUUGCAAGC
rnacentral:rRNA from 1 species